rnacentral:rRNA from 1 species
GGGGAAUAUUGGACAAUGGGCGCAAGCCUGAUCCAGCCAUGCCGCGUGGGUGAAGAAGGCCUUCGGGUUGUAAAGCCCUUUUGUUGGGAAAGAAAAGCAGCCGGCCAAUACCCGGUUGUUCUGACGGUACCCAAAGAAUAAGCACCGGCUAACUUCGUGCCAGCAGCCGCGGUAAUACGAAGGGUGCAAGCGUUACUCGGAAUUACUGGGCGUAAAGCGUGCGUAGGUGGUGGUUUAAGUCCGUUGUGAAAGCCCUGGGCUCAACCUGGGAACUGCAGUGGAUACUGGAUCACUAGGGUGGGGGAGGAGGUAGUGGGAUUCCCCGUGUAGCAGUGAAAUGCGGAGGGGACGGGAGGAACAACAGUGGGGGAGGCGACUGCCUGGGCCAACACUGACACUGAGGCACGAAAGCGUGGGGAGCAAACA